CCUACGGGUGGCAGCAGUGGGGGAUAUUGCACAAUGGGGGAAACACUGAUGCAGCGACGCCGCGUGAGUGAAGAAGUAUUUCGGUAUGUAAAGCUCUAUCAGCAGGGAAGAAAAUGACAGUACCUGACCAAGAAGCCCCGGCUAACUACGUGCCAGCAGCCGCGGUAAUACGUAGGGGGCAAGCGUUAUCCGGAUUUACUGGGUGUAAAGGGAGCGUAGACGGUUAUGUAAGUCUGGAGUGAAAGCCCGGGGCCCAACCCCGGGACUGCUUUGGAAACUGUGUGACUGGAGUACGGGAGGGGCAGGCGGAAUGCGUGGUGUAGCGGUGAAAUGCGUAGAUAUCAGGAAGAACACCGACGGCGAAGGCGGCAUGCUGGACUGAAACUGACGUUGAGGCUCGAAAGCGUGGGGAGCGAACAGGAUUAGAUACCCGGGUAGUC
rnacentral:rRNA from 1 species